rnacentral:rRNA from 1 species
GAUGAACGCUGGCGGCGUGCUUAAUACAUGCAAGUCGAACGGAAAGACCAUGAUCUUGUGGGUUGCUCGAGUGGCGAACAGGGGAGAAACACAUGAGUAAACUCCCCCUGUCUUUGGGAUAACUUCAGGAAAAUCGGGCUAAUACCGGAUAGGAUCUCCUGAUCCACGGUGGGGGUUGGAAAAUUUCGGCUGUUGGGGAUGGUAUGGCGGCUUAUCCGCCUGUUGGUGAGGUAGUGGCUUACCAAGGCUUUGACGGGUAGCCGGCCUGAGAGGGUGACCAGCGACAUUGGGACUGCGAGACGGAGCAGACGGGUACGGGACGCAGCAGUGGGGAGUAUGACACAAUGGGGGGAAGCGUGAUACGGCAACGCCGGGUGCGGGAUGACGUCUUUCGGGUUGUAAACCGCUUUCGCCGGUGACGAAGCGUGAGUGACGGUAAUGGGUAAAGAAGCACCGGCUAACUACGUG